AUGGUUCUGGAAUGGAACAUAGUUUCAUUUUUCCCUCUUCCCCAUCCACAAUUUCCAACCAACUCCAAAGAGAAUAAACCAAGGACGUCAUAUAAGGUGAAUUUCCUGCCCAGCCCUCCCAGCGACCCCGGAUUGAAACCCUGCGACUCUGCUGUCAGCCUGUCCAGCCUCAGCAUCUCCCUUUUCCCCCGAACGCUUGGCGGUGACGGUGGCAGCCUCUUCGAGUGGUUUGUUCAUGGACUGGAGAAAGUCAUGCCACAACCUGUGACCCCAACAAAGCAGGCCCGGAUGACUACACAAGCUACGGACAUGGGCCCCGGACAAGAAAGGUGCAAAGGGGCUUAAGUAUCUCUGAGACAAAGAGACAUUGAAGACCUUGGUGGCCUCUUUUUACAAACCCAGUCAUCCUACACUGAGGGUGCAUGUCUAAACAGGAAGAAAAGGAUUUGCACUUUUGUUUGGUUUAUUGAUUGAUUGAUUGCCAGAGGAAAGGGGGAAGGUUGAUGAAAUAAAGCUGCAUUCCAAACCUGAGAUGAGAAGAGU
rnacentral:lncRNA from 1 species